AGAACGAACGCUGGCGGCAUGCCUAACACAUGCAAGUCGAACGCUCACCGGGCUUCGGUUCGGUGGGAGUGGCGCACGGGUGAGUAGCGCGUGGGAACCUGCCCUGUUGUGGGGGAUAACCGAGGGAAACUUCGGCUAAUACCGCAUGCGCCCGGGGAAACCCGGGGAAAGAUUUAUCGCAGCAGGAGGGGCCCGCGUCGGAUUAGGUAGUUGGUAGGGUAACGGCCUACCAAGCCUUUGAUCCGUAGCUGGUCUGAGAGGAUGAUCAGCCACACUGGGACUGAGACACGGCCCAGACUCCUACGGGAGGCAGCAGUGGGGAAUAUUGGACAAUGGGCGCAAGCCUGAUCCAGCAAUGCGCGUGAGUGAUGAAGGCCUUAGGGUUGUAAAGCUCUUUCGCCCGCGACGAUGAUGACGGUAGCGGGAGAAGAAGCCCCGGCUAACUUCGCGCCAGCAGCCGC
rnacentral:rRNA from 1 species